AGAGGAGCCUACCGGCACCGGGCACGUCUGUGGGAGGGCGAGGCUGGGAGAAAGGCACUGAGCUAAAGAUGAGAAGAAGCGUUCCCUGGAGCCUGCAUGGCAUCAAUCAUGAGAAUGGAUGUUGAGGGUUAUGCACCCCACUGAGGCAGCACUGAAUGCCAGAUCCCAAGUUACAGAGGUGCUUAUGAUCUACCCCAACCGAAGAUACUUAAAACGAUGUGAACAAAUUUUUGAAGACAAUUGCAGGAGGUAAAUUAGAAAGAUGAAAAUAAUACCUUAAAGAAAGCAUCUGUAGUCUCCUAAGGACACCGAUGGGAGGAUGUGGUGGUGAUGGAGGCAGAGCUGUGAAGAACUGAGAGGCUAUUAGAAAACCGCGGUGGAACAGUGGCUGGGGAAAAGGAUUGUAUUUGCUGGGGCUGCUAUUAAAAAGUACCGUGAACUGAGUGGCUUAAACACCAGAAAUUAUUCUCUCACAGUUCUGGAGGACUAAAGUCCAAAAUCAAGCUGUGGGCAGGGUGGGUUUCCCUGAGAGCUGCAAGUGAAGGAUCUGUUCCAGGCCUCUCUCCUUGGCUGAUUUCCUGGCAAACAGAAAAAGCUCUCUUGGUCUUU
rnacentral:lncRNA from 1 species